rnacentral:misc_RNA from 1 species
CGCUGGAAUCUUUCUAUUGUUAAUGCCACAUCUGUUGUAUAAUCAAUGAGGAAUAGAUAGAGUUUGAGGACAUGCAUCUUCAUGAGUGGAUAUCCUACGUUCUGAUGAAUUCAACUGAUUGGAAAGCCUACUCCUGAUGUUGUCUUCAGUGGAGAUUGUGUUGAUAAGGUGGAGAAGAAUCUUCUCAAGCUGCUCGCCGUUACUCCAGUCAUGAACUUCUGCCUUGACAAGAGUUGCAUUGCUGCAAAUGCGUUUCCAUAAGGGAUACUCCUUCCUUGGCAUCACAUAAUCACCUUCAACAAGUUUUAAAGAUGGACAGAAGUCACCAUUCCCAUCUCCGAGGUAGAUGAGUCUUGUUUUCUCAUUUUGAGUAGUGGAAGCACGGAUUUGGUCAAUUACCAGGCCCUUACACAAAUUUGACGGGCAUAAGUGGCAACAGUGAGGAGGUGUGUUCAAGUCAUGGUGGGGGAAAAUCCUAAGCCUUCCCUGAUCAUCUACAAAGGCUGGAUUUGUGCUGAUCUGUGAGAAGCAUCCCAACAAUCCAUGAUGAUCCAAGAUUUUCUCAAUGAAAAAUUGAUUUGCAUCACUAAUUAUUCUUAAGUCACAUCCAAGGGCAUGGAUUGAUUUUAUGACUGUUUUAAUUCGUGGAUGCAAUGGAGUCUGAUGUAGGCAUUCUGCAAUAUCAUCAACUGUUUUCCCUUGUGAGUGGAGCUCCGUCAUCAUCCUAUCCAUAAGGGAGUUCCAGGGCAAAGUAGAACGAAGCUGAUUGAAGAGUGAGGAGAGGCCCAUCUGAGUCACCACCCAGCUGUCACUGUCGCCGUCGAUUAAGGUGCGGUCGAAAUCGAAAACCACCACAAUUCGUGCCAUCUCCGCCGCUAUAGGUGGUUUCACGGUCAUCAAGAAAGCUGCCGCGCAACAACAAAUGGACCCAACAAGAAGAUGGAACUUCCUCGGAAGACAAAAGUUUGGUUGCGAUUCUGUCCUCCGGUGAUUCAGUGAACCGGUUCAGCGGGACUCAAGUGAUCUUAGCCGUUCGAUUGAUUUAGAUGACUAAAGACAAAGGGAAACUUUUC